AGAGUUUGAUCAUGGCUCAGGAUGAACGCUGGCGGCGUGCCUAACACAUGCAAGUCGAGCGAUUCUCUUCGGAGAAGAGCGGCGGACGGGUGAGUAACGCGUGGGUAACCUGCCCUGUACACACGGAUAACAUACCGAAAGGUAUGCUAAUACGGGAUAACAUAUUUUGAUGGCAUCAUCGAAAUAUCAAAGCUCCGGCGGUACAGGAUGGACCCGCGUCUGAUUAGCUAGUUGGUGAGGUAAUGGCUCACCAAGGCGACGAUCAGUAGCCGACCUGAGAGGGUGAUCGGCCACAUUGGAACUGAGACACGGUCCAAACUCCUACGGGAGGCAGCAGUGGGGAAUAUUGCACAAUGGGCGAAAGCCUGAUGCAGCAACGCCGCGUGAGCGAUGAAGGCCUUCGGGUCGUAAAGCUCUGUCCUCAAGGAAGAUAAUGACGGUACUUGAGGAGGAAGCCCCGGCUAACUACGUGCCAGCAGCCACGGUAAUACGUAGGGGGCUAGCGUUAUCCGGAAUUACUGGGCGUAAAGGGUGCGUAGGUGGUUUUUUAAGUCAGAGGUGAAAGGCUACGGCUCAACCGUAGUAAGCCUUUGAAACUGAGAAACUUGAGUGCAGGAGAGGAGAGUAGAAUUCCUAGUGUAGCGGUGAAAUGCGUAGAUAUUAGUAGGAAUACCAGUUGCGAAAGGCGGCUCUCUGGACUGUAACUGACACUGAGGCACGAAAGCGUGGGGAGCAAACAGGAUUAGAUACCCUGGUAGUCCACGCCGUAACGAUGAGUACUAGGUGUCGGGGGUUACCCCCCUCGGUGCCGCAGCUAACGCAUUAAGUACUCCGCCUGGGAAGUACGCUCGCAAGAGUGAAACUCAAGGAAUGAC
rnacentral:rRNA from 1 species